UACGUAGGCAGCAAGCGUUGUUCGGAUUUACUGGGCGUAAAGGGCGCGUAGGCGGCAAUUCAAGUCAUCUGUGAAAUCUCCGGGCUUAACCCGGAACGGUCAGAUGAUACUGCUUUGCUAGAGUGCGGAAGGGGCAAUCGGAAUUCUUGGUGUAGCGGUGAAAUGCGUAGAUAUCAAGAGGAACACCUGAGGUGAAGACGGGUUGCUGGGCCGACACUGACGCUGAUAGCGCGAAAGCCAGGGGAGCAAACGGG
rnacentral:rRNA from 1 species